GAUGAAGAACGUAGUGAAAUGCGAUAAGUAAUGUGAAUUGCAGAAUUCAGUGAAUCAUCGAAUCUUUGAACGCACAUUGCGCCCCUUGGUAUUCCGAGGGGCAUGCCUGUUCGAGCGUCAUUUUGACCACUCCCGCUUGCGGGGUCUUGGGCCUUCGCCGCUGGGCGGGCCUUAAAAUCAGUGGCGGUGCCGUCCGGCUCUAAGCGUAGUAAAUCUCCUCGCUAUAGGGUUCCGGAGGGAUGCUGGCCAACAACCCCCAACUUUUAAGGUUGACCUCGGAUCAGGUAGGGAUACCCGCUGAACUUAAGCAUAUCAAUAAGCGGAGGA
rnacentral:misc_RNA from 1 species